rnacentral:lncRNA from 10 species
GCACAUGCGCAGAAUCAUCGUGGUGCACGGCUCUCCCUUUGCUUCUUCGGUUGCAGUCCUCUUGCUUCUUGCGCGUGCGUGUAGCGCUUUUGCAAAGCCGCGGAGGUGAAGUGAACUUAGAGGUUGUGGGGCCGAGGGGUCGUCUUAUAGCUACCAGCCCACAGGCAUUUAGUCUACGUUGGAGGUAAACAAAUACGGGUCCUGCUUAGGAGAAAAGAAAAACGUCUUACAGCCAGUGUCUAAACUCCAAACAACGGAAUGUAUCAAUGAGACCUUGUAUAUGGAUACACGUGCAUUUAAAACCGCCCUGCCGGCUUGUAGAGCUUUUGCCGUUCUCCAGCGCUUUACAGGGGUUAUCGCACUUAAGCCUCGGAACAACUUUACCAGAUGAGGACACCUGAGGUUCAGAUUAAGAAAUCUGCCCCAAAGUCUUAGAACUGUGAUUCUACCAGAAAGGAAUGAAGAACAGAACCUUCAGGAAUUGAGUCACAAUGCAGACAAAUAUCAAAUGGGAGAUUGUUGCAAGGAAGAGAUUGAUGAUAGUAUUUUCUACUAGCCAUUGGGAAGAUAAAAGGAGACAGAAGAUUGAAGCCUUUGCCAGCCAUUCUUUCCCUUUUUGCUUCCAAACUCCUCAACUGGGAACCUUCAUAUGUGCAGUAUUUAUAUUGGAUCAUACUGGUGAUUAUAAAAGUUCCUAGGAGGCUAGAAGAGCCAACCAACAGAGAAGGGAAAGCAGUCUGUUCUGAACAUAGGGACAUAAGUUCAUUCAUGCCAAGUAUCUUUCCAGCAUGUUUCUCCCAUUUAGAAUAUCUAGCAUGUAAGGCCUUUCAAUAUUAAUAUAAGCCCAAUAUCAGCUCUUUCUCUUUGUAUUUCAUCUCUUUCUACUCUCCUAUUUGUAUUUUGUGUUCCUAUCAAAGUGUCGUAUCUGGGAGAUGACCUGCCUUAUCCUGUUCUAUAACAGUUUUGUUUGCUGCUGUGUCUUUAGAACAGUGCCUGGCACACAGUAAGCACUCAAUAAAUCUUUGAUGAAUGAA